rnacentral:lncRNA from 1 species
CUUUUAGCGGCCGAGCGAAGCGCGUGUCUGUGGUCCCCAUUUCUCAUCGAAAAGAUCAAAGCCUGGCACGCGACCCGUUAGCUGCCGCAUCCGUCGCACGCGGCACUUUUCCUUGAAUCAUCAAUUUUGGGCCAGGGUGCAUAAUUAAAACAUUUUUAAUCCCAACCAAGUGAUGCAGAAGAAGAGCGCGCGGUCUACUCCUCCCACGUGCUCCACACGCACCUUCCUCGUGUCCCCGUCAGGGACCUUGUGGGGUCCGAGCCUCCCCACCCGACGCUGAUCUUCGUGGGCUGAGAGGCGCAGGACGGUGGGGUCCGAGGAGGAAUCUCCGGAGACGCACGUGCCAAGUGCGCGGAAGUGGCUCGUGUGUCGCGGCGCGCGCUCAUGCGUUUAUUAUUUCUUUUUCUAGGACCUGGCUUCAGAGGAAUGAUCAUCAUGUCUGUCGGAAAUGUGUUGACAUUCGGACUUCUGCUCGGUGGCUUGAUGUCCUUCGCGGUCUCGCACGGGAAUGCCGGUCGUAAGCCUGACACGAACCCCCGGUCCAGGGGCACUGUGGGCGAAGGGGGUCUCCAGUCAGUUUUGGACAGCACCGUGUCCCCUGCCUUGGGCGCAACCAUCAUAAUCAUCCUCACGGUGAUCGUGUCGGGCAGCGCCUACCUCUGCUUCCUCAAGUACGUAUGCGCCGGCUGCUGCAGGACCGCCCAGGUAGCGCCCAGCAAUCACCCGGACCCCAGCAGGGCCGAGGAGCAGGUGUAGGGGCUGAGCACUCUGUGUGUGCGUGCAUGUGAGUGAAACUGUGUCCCAGCUUCUUAAAUGGAUUAAAAGAUGGGAACUGUUAAUAAAGGACUGAACUAGUAAUCGCGGGUAACCA